rnacentral:rRNA from 1 species
AUUGAACGCUGGCGGCAGGCUUAACACAUGCAAGUCGAGCGGAGCCUUCGGGCUUAGCGGCGAACGGGUGAGGAAUGCCUGGGAAUCUGCCUGUUAGUGGGGGAUAACGUUCCGAAAGGAACGCUAAUACCGCAUACGUCCUACGGGAGAAAGCAGGGGACCUUCGGGCCUUGCGCUAACAGAUGAGCCCAGGUCGGAUUAGCUAGUUGGUGGGGUAAAGGCUCACCAAGGCGACGAUCCGUAGCUGGUCUGAGAGGAUGAUCAGCCACACUGGAACUGAGACACGGUCCAGACUCCUACGGGAGGCAGCAGUGGGGAAUAUUGGACAAUGGGGGAAACCCUGAUCCAGCCAUGCCGCGUGUGUGAAGAAGGCC